rnacentral:rRNA from 1 species
UACGAGAGGCCCAAACGUUAUUCGGAUUUACUGGGCUUAAAGAGUUCGUAGGCGGCGCGGAAAGUAGGGUGUGAAAGCCCUCGGCUCAACCGAGGAAUUGCGCUCUAAACUACCGUGCUUGAGGAAGCUAGAGGUGAGCGGAACUGAUGGUGGAGCGGUGAAAUGCGUUGAUAUCAUCAGGAACACCGGAGGCGAAGGCGGCUCACUGGACUGGUAUUGACGCUGAGGUGCGAAAGCGUGGGGAGCAAACAGG